GCACCAAUAGCUCAGCUGGGAGAGCGCCAGACUGAAGUUUGAACUUCAGUUCCAAGUAAUCUGGAGGUCAGGCGUUCGAUCCGCCUUUGGGGCA